rnacentral:rRNA from 1 species
AUUUAAUUCAACAUCGAGGUCGCAAACUUAAUUAUUAAUAAGAACUUGCUAAUCAAAUUACGCUGUUAUCCCUAGAGUAACUUCCAUCCUUCAAUUUAAACUAUUAAAAAUUUUUUUCUUCAACAAUUACCCCAAUCAAAAAUAUUUUAUAUUUUAAGCUUCUAGGGUCUUCUCGUCCCAAAGAUUAACAUAGGCCUUUUUACCUAUAAAUUAAAUUCAAACUCAUUAAAUAAAACUAUCCUCUUAGAAUCUACCUUUCAUUCCAGUCUCCAAUUAAAAAA